UCUAAUCCAAACGUUGUUACCUAAUAUUUAUACAUAUUUAGAAUCUGCAAUGUGCAGAGUUAAAUCGUCACGAUGUGUUAAAAUCGCUACUGAAGUCUCUCUGGGCAUCCUUUUGCAAAUUUGUAUUGCCGAAGUGGGUGUGAAUAUUGCCUAUAUCAUCAGUCAUACUGCGGCAGUGCCAUUUAUGAUCCUUUCGAUCACAGCUGCAACUGUGUUCGUCAUCGUCAUAUUGUCCCUUGGAAUUUAUAUCUUAUGUGCGCAAAAAGCAUUUAAACUGUUCAUAUUAGCGGCCUGUUUGACGGUCUACCUCGUGUUUAAGGCAAUUAUUUGGAUAAUUUUUCAAGAGCGCGCAGCUAAAUCGAAAUUGGGUCGUUUAUCCGAUAUAUUUUUUUUCGUGUCGUGCUUAUGUUGUCUUGUCUCGAUGGUAUUAGUCUUCGUACUGAUCGUAAAGGUCGAACGAGUCUGAAAGUUGUCUGUCGCUUUUAAAGAACAUUUAGUUGGAGUUUGGCUUACAGAACAUGUGUUUCUUACAGUUACUUGUACUGCAAAUCAAUGCGGUCGUAUUAUGUUUGGUAGUUAUGAUAUGUACUACUUGUAACCUUUUCCACUGCAUACAAUUGGUAAGCGAGUUCGACGGUGCUGCGAAAGGCAUACUGGUCGUCUCUAUAAUACUGGAUAGUAUUCUUUUUGCUACAACUGGCUUGGGCAUUUAUGGAGGCAUUUUUUACAAAAAAUGGCCGCUCAAGCUUUGUAUAUUCACAUUUAUAGCCUUCUUUAUAAGUAAGAUAUUAAUUGCGGACCAAGCCGUUGUCUUUGAUACUAAAUUCUAUUCAAACUUUCUGAGUCCCUGGUAUUACUUGCAAGCAGCACUUUCGGCUUUCAGCUUGAUUUUUGUAUUUACUCUAUACCUGAAACUGGGCGAAAAGUGGGAGCUCAGGAAAAGAAAACAAAGGAACUGGUUUUCACAUUUUGAGUAUGAAGAAAAUUAAUUGUAAAAAUGUGUUUACUUCAAUUCGAAGCACUCAGAUAUACAACUUUAAUUGUAAUCAUCAUUUUUGCAAUUUUUAAUAUUCUGGACGGAAGCGUGGCCAUCGUAACCCUGUGCAAUGGCCAGCAAAAUAUUAGAACAGCUUUAAUCGUAUCGAUUGUAAUGAAUACUUUAAUUAAUAUACCACUUGUCACUGGAAUUAAUGGAACGUAUCGCAAUAAUACCUUAAAACUGAAGCGGUUCAUAGUCGCAAUGAUGAUGUAUUUUUUCGUCAAAAUAUUAUUACGCAAAUUUGUAGAUCCAUUGGAAACAUCUAAUAAUGAACUGAGUAUUCAGAUAUGGUAUGAACUGUGUAUUAUCUUUUCCGGACUUUGUUUUGUGCUCGCUAUUCCCCUCUGGGUGAAGGUAUCGGAGAAAUGCAAUUUAUCCGAAAUUCAAGUUUAGACUAAUAAAAAG